AUUGAACGCUGGCGGCAUGCUUUACACAUGCAAGUCGAACGGUAACAGGAUGCUUGCACCGCUGACGAGUGGCGAACGGGUGAGUAAUGCGUCGGAACGUGCCGAGUAGUGGGGGAUAACGCAGCGAAAGUUGUGCUAAUACCGCAUACGUACUGAGGUAGAAAGUGGGGGACCUUCGGGCCCUACGCUAUUCGGGAGGCCGACGUCUGAUUAGCUAGUAGGUGAGGUAAAGGCUCGCCUAGGCGACGAUCAGUAGCGGGUCUGAGAGGAUGAUCCGCCACACUGGGACUGAGACACGGCCCAGACUCCUACGGGAGGCAGCAGUGGGGAAUUUUGGACAAUGGGCGAAAGCCUGAUCCAGCCAUGCCGCGUGUCUGAAGAAGGCCUUCGGGUUGUAAAGGACUUUUGUCAGGGAGGAAAUCCCUAGUGCUAAUAACACUGGGGGAUGACAGUACCUGAAGAAUAAGCACCGGCUAACUACGUGCCAGCCGCCGCCGUAA
rnacentral:rRNA from 1 species